rnacentral:rRNA from 1 species
AUGCUUCUACUUUCUGUAUGGAGCUGGGAGCGUCUGCCUGUUGGACGCCCGAAGAGCGUCAGGUUUAGUCCUUGGUAUGAAGAUGAAGAUGACGAAUUACGGCGCCCCACUUUACGGUGCCCUUGUAUUGUCCGGUCAAGAACGUGCCAUCAAUGGCGAUGA